GGUCAAGCUACUAAGGGCGUACGGUGGAUGCCUAGGCGCUAAGAGUCGAAGAAGGGCGCGGUUAACAGCGAAAUGCCACGGGGAGCAGUAAGCAUGCAUUGAUCCGUGGAUACCCGAAUGGGGCAACCCCAUUGGAGUUAUAUCCAAUGAUCUUUAACUGAAUAGAUAGGUUAAAGAGGACAACCCGGGGGAACUGAAACAUCUAAGUACCCGGAGGAAGAGAAAGAAUAAUCGAUUCCCUGAGUAGCGGCGAGCGAAACGGGAAGAGCCCAAACCAAGCUCUUCGGAGCUUGGGGUUGUAGGACCCUCUAUUAAGCAUUAAUUCUUAGCUGAAGAAAUCUGGAAAGAUUCAGCAAAGAAGGUAACACUCCUGUAAGCGAAAAGAAGAAAUGCUGUGAGGGUAUCCUGAGUACCGCGGGACACGAGAAACCCCGUGGGAAACCGGGAGGACCACCUCCCAAGGCUAAAUACUCCUUAGCGACCGAUAGUGAACCAGUACCGUGAGGGAAAGGUGAAAAGCACCCCGGGAGGGGAGUGAAAAAGAACCUGAAACCGUACGCUUACAAGCAGUCAAAGCACCCUUGAGGUGUGAUGGCGUGCCUUUUGUAGAAUGAACCGGCGAGUUACGGUAUGUAGCGAGGUUAAAGCGAGAAGCUGGAGCCGAAGCGAAAGCGAGUCUGAAAAGGGCGACAAGUUACAUGCUGUAGACCCGAAACCGUGUGAUCUACCCAUGGUCAGGGUGAAGGUGGGGUAAAACCUACUGGAGGCCCGAACUCACUGUCGUUGAAAAGGCAAGGGAUGAACUGUGGGUAGGGGUGAAAUGCCAAUCGAACACGGAGAUAGCUGGUUCUCCCCGAAAUAGCUUUAGGGCUAGCCUCAAUUGAUGAUUCUUGGCGGUAAAGCACUGAAUAGGCUAGGGGCCUUACCGGGUUACCGAACCUUAUCAAACUCUGAAUGCCAAGAAUUUAGAUUGGGAGUCAGACUGUGGGGGAUAAGCUUCAUAGUCAAAAGGGAAACAGCCCAGACCAUCAGCUAAGGUCCCAAAGUAUACGCUAAGUGGAAAAGGAUGUGGAAUUGCACAGACAACCAGGAUGUUGGCUCAGAAGCAGCCACCAUUUAAAGAGUGCGUAAUAGCUCACUGGUCGAGUGGUUCUGCGCCGAAAAUGUAACGGGGCUCAAGCGUAUCACCGAAGCUAUGGCUUUACAGUUUACUGUAAGGGGUAGGGGAGCGUUCCAAGGUCAGCGAAGUUCAACUGGAAGGUUGGGUGGAGAGCUUGGAAGUGAGAAUGCCGGUAUGAGUAUGCGAAAAGGUGAGUGAGAAUCUCACCCGCCGAAAAUCUAAGGUUUCCUGGGGAAGGCUCGUCCGCCCAGGGUCAGUCGGGACCUAAGCCGAGGCCGAAAGGCGUAGGUGAUGGACAACUGGUGGAUAUUCCAGUACCUCUCUUAAACGUUAUUAGCGAUGGGGUGACACAGAAGGAUAGGUUAAGCGUGCCGUUGGUUGAGCACGCCCAAGCCCGUAGGGUGUGAGGCAGGUAAAUCCGUCUUACGCGUUGCCUGAAAGGUAAUGGGGAGCGAAAAUAAGUAGCGAAGUAACCGACUCCAAGCUGUCAAGAAAAGCCUCUAGUGAGUGAGAGAGAGCCCGUACCGCAAACCGACACAGGUAGAUAAGGAGAGAAUCCUAAGGCGCGCGAGAAAACCCUCGUUAAGGAACUCGGCAAAAUAGCCCCGUAACUUCGGGAGAAGGGGCGCUCUUCGCAAGAAGAGCCGCAGAGAAAUGGUCCAGGCGACUGUUUAACAAAAACACAGGUUCCUGCCAAUCUGAAAAGAGAAGUAUAGGAGCUGACGCCUGCCCGGUGCUGGAAGGUUAAGAGGAGAGGUUAGCCGCAAGGCGAAGCUUUGAAUUGAAGCCCCAGUAAACGGCGGCCGUAACUAUAACGGUCCUAAGGUAGCGAAAUUCCUUGUCAGGUAAGUUCUGACCCGCACGAAAGGCGUAACGAUCUGGACACUGUCUCAACGAGGGACUCGGCGAAAUUGUAAUACCCGUGAAGAUGCGGGUUACCUGCGACAGGACAGAAAGACCCCAUGGAGCUUUACUGUAGCUUGACAUUGGAUUUUGGUAUAAAAUGUACAGGAUAGGUGGGAGACUAAGAAGCUAGGGCGCCAGCCUUGGUGGAGUCGCCGGUGGGAUACCACUCUUUUUGUACUGAAAUUCUAACUUAGACCCCCUGAAUCGGGGUUGAGGACCGUGUCAGGUGGGCAGUUUGACUGGGGCGGUCGCCUCCUAAAGAGUAACGGAGGCGCCCAAAGGUUCCCUCAGCGCGGAUGGAAAUCGCGCGAAGAGUGUAAAGGCAAAAGGGAGCUUGACUGCGAGACCAACAAGUCGAGCAGGGACGAAAGUCGGGCUUAGUGAUCCGGUGGUACCGAGUGGAAGGGCCAUCGCUCAACGGAUAAAAGCUACCCUGGGGAUAACAGGCUUAUCUCCCCCAAGAGUCCAUAUCGACGGGGAGGUUUGGCACCUCGAUGUCGGCUCAUCGCAUCCUGGGGCUGUAGUAGGUCCCAAGGGUUGGGCUGUUCGCCCAUUAAAGCGGUACGUGAGCUGGGUUCAGAACGUCGUGAGACAGUUCGGUCCCUAUCCGUCGCAGGCGCAGGAAAUUUGAGGGGAGCUGACCCUAGUACGAGAGGACCGGGUUGGACGGAUCACUGGUGUACCAGUUGUCUCGCCAGAGGCAUAGCUGGGUAGCUAUAUCCGGAUCGGAUAAGCGCUGAAAGCAUCUAAGCGCGAAACCGACCUCAAGAUGAGAUUUCCCACAGCACAAGCUGGUAAGACCCCUGAAAGAUGAUCAGGUAGAUAGGCCCAAUGUGGAAGCGCGGUGACGUGUGGAGCUGACGGGUACUAAUCGGUCGAGGGCUUGACCUA
rnacentral:rRNA from 1 species